rnacentral:rRNA from 1 species
UACAGAGGGUGCAAGCGUUGCUCGGAUUUACUGGGCGUAAAGCGUACGCAGACGGUCUAGCAAGUCGGGAGUGAAAGCCCCGGGCUCAACCUGGGAAAUGCUUUCGAAACUACUAGUACUUGAGUUUGGGAGAGGGAAGCGGAAUUCCUGGUGUAGAGGUGAAAUUCGUAGAUAUCAGGAGGAACACCAGCGGCGAAGGCGGCUUCCUGGCCCAAUACUGACGUUCAGGUACGAAAGCGUGGGUAGCAAACAGG